CUAGCAUAUCAAUAAGCGGAGGAAAAGAAACCAACCGGGAUUGCCUCAGUAACGGCGAGUGAAGCGGCAAGAGCUCAAAUUUGAAAGCUGGCUCCUUCGGAGUCCGCAUUGUAAUUUGCAGAGGAUGCUUUGGGUGCGGCCCCCGUCUAAGUGCCCUGGAACGGGCCGUCAGAGAGGGUGAGAAUCCCGUCUUGGGCGGGGUGUCCGUGCCCGUGUAAAGCUCCUUCGACGAGUCGAGUUGUUUGGGAAUGCAGCUCUAAAUGGGUGGUAAAUUUCAUCUAAAGCUAAAUACUGGCCGGAGACCGAUAGCGCACAAGUAGAGUGAUCGAAAGAUGAAAAGCACUUUGAAAAGAGAGUUAAACAGCACGUGAAAUUGUUGAAAGGGAAGCGCUUGCGACCAGACUCGCCCGCGGGGUUCAGCCGGCAUUCGUGCCGGUGUACUUCCCCGUGGGCGGGCCAGCGUCGGUUUGGGCGGCCGGUCAAAGGCCCCUGGAAUGUAGUACCCUCCGGGGUACCUUAUAGCCAGGGGUGCAAUGCGGCCAGCCUGGACCGAGGAACGCGCUUCGGCACGGACGCUGGCAUAAUGGUCGUAAACGACCCGUCUUGAAACACGGACCAAGGAGUCUAACAUCUACGCGAGUGUUCGGGUGUCAAACCCGUGCGCGCAGUGAAAGCGAACGGAGGUGGGAGCCCCCUCGCGGGGCGCACCAUCGACCGAUCCUGAUGUCUUCGGAUGGAUUUGAGUAAGAGCGUAAAUGUGGGGACCCGAAAGAUGGUGAACUAUGCCUGAAUAGGGCGAAGCCAGAGGAAACUCUGGUGGAGGCUCGCAGCGGUUCUGACGUGCAAAUCGAUCGUCAAAUUUGGGUAUAGGGGCGAAAGACUAAUCGAACCAUCUAGUAGCUGGUUCCUGCCGA
rnacentral:rRNA from 1 species